UACAGAGGUCCCAAGCGUUGUUCGGAUUCACUGGGCGUAAAGGGCGCGCAGGUGGUCGGGUAAGUCUGAUGUGAAAUCCCGCAGCUCAACUGCGGAAUGGCAUUGGAUACUAUUUGGCUAGAGGGUUGGAGGGGGGACUGGAAUUCUCGGUGUAGCAGUGAAAUGCGUAGAUAUCGAGAGGAACACCAGUGGCGAAAGCGAGUCCCUGGACAACUCCUGACGCUGAGGCACGAAAGCUAGGGGAGCAAACAGG
rnacentral:rRNA from 1 species